GCCACUUGGUUGUCAUGGAAACAGGCCGGAAUAGAACAGAUGGUCUCCACUAGCCAAAUUCCAAUUAAACAGGGCAGAGAUGGAUAGGGAAGGGAGUGUGAUGUGACGAGGCCGCAGAGAGCUCAGCCCCCAGGAUGGACGGGAAACCCUGGGUCACCGUUCUUGGAGGGGGACAUCAGUGCCUGGCACAUAGUAGAUGCCCAAAGAACAUCUGCUGACUGACCUCACCUAAAGCAUUUGGGCAGUUACCCACAGGUGCUCCAUGACACCUUCUGGCCAGCAGAAAGGACCUGCAGCCAAGUGCUCUGGUGGCUGCUACUGAACACCAACCGCUACUCUCAGCCUUGGGGGUGACAGGAAAGAAUGGGACCGCAGUGAUUGAAACUUAUUUGGGGCAGGAAGCUUGGCCUGGAUGACCUGAGGGGCAGUCAUGUCCUCUGGCCCACCCAGUCUUCACUUCUCACCUCCUCACCCCCCGCCCUCUGGAGGGCAGCUCCUAUCUCUCCUGGAAGGGAGCACAGGAGGCACCUGCCCAGGUGAUCAUCUGGGUUGGGGGGGCGGAUCUCCAGUAGCCCAGGGGCCUGAGACUAAGACAUACUCUGCUUGCAUUGACCACCCUGGAGAAGUCACAGGAGCCCAGCAGAGGGGCUCCCCACAGCGUUCUGGGGCACACACAGCCAGGAGGGUUCCUGGGCCUGGCUUCCCCAGCCCCAGGGAACGGACCCUCCUUCUCCAGACUGGGAGUCCCUCCCAGUGGUAGCUCACAACAGUCCAGCGGUGCGAAGGCUUUCCCUGGAUCAAGCAAAUUAUUGCUUGUGCUAAGCACACCACAUAUGUUAUUCGCCCCUUCCAGCCUCUUAUCAUCUCAUCCCAUUGUACAGCUAGGGGAACUUGUUUAGAGAAGACACAGAUACACCCGCUGACACAGGAGGAUAAGUGUGGAAUUUUCCACUUGUGGCGUCAUGUCGGCCUCCAAAAGCUUCGGAUUUUGGAUUAGGGAUGUUCAACCUGCGCCAAGACUCUCUGAAGAUUCAGCACUAAUAACUCCCCAAAUGCAUCAGGCAUGGACAACUACAACACCAGGUUAUCGCUGCACCACUGAAGGGACAGGAAUGUGAAUAAGAAGGUGCUAUGCAGGGGUGGGAAGAGAUUCUGGAAGCAAAGUCUUGUGAGGACUCCAGGCUUAGGAAAUGGUCUUCCUCCAUCACCUGUCUGCCACCCGCCAGGAAGAGAGGCAGCUCAGCCACAUGGUAUAAACACGGACAUGGGGCCUGACUUCUGGAAUCAGAAUCCUGGCUCUGCCACUUACUAGCUGCGUGACCCUGGGCAAGUUACCUAAGCUCUAUCUGGGCCUCAUUUUUCCAUAUAUAAAACUGGGGAGAACAGAAGUACCUUCCAUAUGAGUUGUUAUGAAGAUUAACUAAGUGAUUACAUGUAAGAUGUUUACAACAGUGCCUGGCAUCCAGGGAUUCUCCAUACAAGUGUGUUAUUAUUAUCCUCAUCAAUGUUUCAAACAAGCAACUGUCUAUCCACCCAGCAUGGCCUACUGGUCCCCUAUGCCAGGCCCUGGAGAAACCAAGCCUCAUCAGCAAUGGAGCUCUCAGUCUUGUGAUGAAGAUAAAUCCCAGGCCCAAGUGACUGGAUAGCAGGAUGGAGAGUAAUUGUUGGCAGGGGGUGGCAUGGAUGAGGCGCUGGGGGAUUUGAGAUGAGAGAAGUUAUCCUUAGCUUGCGGGGGGAGCGGGUCAUGAAAGCUUCACAAUAGAAGUGGCUCUUGACUUCAGUAUUCAGAUUUCAUAUUUAUGGGAAAUAAGCGGGAAUGGGGGAACAGCAUGUGCAAAGGCACGGAGGCAGGAAAGCGCUGGGCAUGGAAAGCAUGGUGUGCGGGGGAGGGCAGUGGGGGACCAGUUAGGGUGGUGCUGUGCCCCCUCAGAUGUGCUUUAGGUGGAUUCACCCAAGGAGCAGUGUGGGCAGACUGGAGCAGCAGACUGAGGAUGUGCCACCAUCCUCCCCUGCAGUGGGACCCACAUGACGUGGUGGCAGAGCUGGCUAGGACCAGAGGCACCUCCUCCACUGCCCUUGUCCUAGCACCUGACAGCAUUUGUCCACAAGACGCGGGGACUGAGGGAGAAGGUGCAUGGGGCACAGAGAACAGUCACAGCAGCUGCCUCCCCAGUCCUGCCCGGGGCAUGUACCCCAGACCAGCUGCUGGCAGGCCCUCACAGGGGCACUCCACGAGCCCACGCAAUCCUUCAGUCCCCCUUCCUCCACAGCAGGGCAGACUCACAUCUGCCCCAGCAGAUUGGCGCUC
rnacentral:lncRNA from 1 species